GCGAAAGAAUAGUUCGCU
rnacentral:snRNA from 1 species